GACCCCGCUCCGGUGGCAGAGUGGGUAGAGCGUCCUCCUCAAAUGCGGGAGGUCGUGGGUUCGAUACCCGGUCGAGUCA